rnacentral:lncRNA from 1 species
CCCAGCCCCCAGCCAGGUGGAGGUCUCUCUCUCUCCCAGAGACCACCGGCUGCUCCCCUCCAGCCCCGUCUCCGCCCACGCGUGCCCCUGCUGUACACGCCCAGCACAGGGACCCUCCCUACCCUGACCCUGGCUAUGAGAGCCGCCAAAGUCCAGAGUCCCCUCCUGGGGCAGCCUCACCACAGGCCUGGCUCCGCGACCCCUGCCCCCAGCAUCUCCACGGCCGCAAGUUCCGAGGGAAGUUUCGCCACAUUCCCACCUGAGCCACGCUUUGUUGCAGACAACAGCAAACACAUCCUCUGCAAAAGCUUCUCCACUAAGAUGAGCCUAGCUUACCCAUCAGAGCCCCUGAGCCAUUGACAUCCUCCUGCGGAAGAUGGUCAGCAUCACCGGUCACCAGAAGAGUGACCGCAGCAGGACACUGCCUCACACCACCGGGAGGGCUGGAAACGACAGGAGCCCCAAACUGGAAAGUAACAAGUGUUGCUGUUUUUGGUGAGGAUAUAGCGAAAUUUGAACCUCCAGUGUUGCUGAUGAGACAGUAACACAGUAUGGCUGCCGUGGAGAAUGGUCAGGGAGCUCCUCAAAAAUUAAACCAUCAAGCCAGCAACCAUGCUACUCGGAGCGUGCCCCCACCUCGCCCGAUGACAGGGACCUAAGCAGACACUCGCACUGGAGCACUCACAGUAGCCGAAGGGGACCCAGAACCGGCUGCCCAUGGAUGGACAAACCCACGUAGGCCACACCACACACACACCUGGGAGAUGCGAUGCUGACUGAACGACACAAGCCACCUGGGCAGGAGGAGCCACAGAGAUGGAGCAGAAGGAGGCUUCUGGGGCCAGGGCACAGGAGAGCAACCACCUGAUGGGAACCCAGCCCUCUUCCCAGGGAGGGGAACGUUCUGGAACCAGAGAGAGGUGGUGGUGACUGUGCUAAAUGCCAGGGAAUUGUUCACUAUAAAAUAGCUCAUUUUAUGUUUGUGGAUUUCACCCCAAUUAAAAAACAACAAAAAGAUAAGUGGAGCUCAGGGUCCAGCCAC